UACGGGGGGGGCAAGCGUUGUUCGGAAUUACUGGGCGUAAAGGGCGCGUAGGCGGUUGGAUAAGUCAGCUGUGAAAACCACGGGCUUAACUCGUGGCCUGCAGUUGAGACUGUCUGGCUUGAGUGUGGGAGAGGAGAGUGGAAUUCCAGGUGUAGCGGUGAAAUGCGUAGAUAUCUGGAGGAACACCGGUGGCGAAGGCGGCAUUCUGGACCGACAUUGACGCUGAGGAGCGAAAGCCAGGGGAGCAAACGGG
rnacentral:rRNA from 1 species